GUAGGGAGUGGAUGAUAACAUGGAACUAGUGUGAACGAGUGAUCGAUGGUCAUCAUGUACUCGGUGGGCUGUAGGGCCUGUUACCAAUCAAUUGUGAUUCACCACUUUAGGAAAAAACUAGGGUGUCUUCAAGUUAGAGCUGCUACCUGACAGUCCCAGUGAUCCAGGUUCAAUCCUAACCUAGGAUUUGGAAUUUACACAUUCUCCCUAUGAUCAUGAGGUUUUCCCCACUUGCUUCAGUUUUCUUCCACAUCCCAAAGACGUGUGGGUUGGCAGGUUAAUAUUGCCCUUGCUGUAUAUGUGUGGUAGAAUCUGGGGGAAUUGAUAAUAAUGUCGGAAGAAAUUCAAAAAUGCAUUAAUGUAAGAUUGGUGUGGAAUGGAUGGUUGAUGGUCAGCACAGACUCGAUGGGCCAAAAGGUCACCUGUGCUGCACCCCAAUGAUAAAAUGAUAAACAUUCUUUAGAUACAUUAACAACUGCUGCUCCUCUUGAAAGAAUGAAAAUGAAUGACUUGGCAACCAUCUGAGUCACACUCAUUCUCCUUUAGGAAAUCAGUACUGAUUUUUAUGAAAUGAUGCUGAUAGCCCAGCUAAAUCUUCUUACUCUGACUAACCUUCUUAAAUCCCCAUCUUAUAUUUGAUGCACACCACCUUUCUCCCUGAUAAAUUGGUGAGUGAGAAAUAUUUAAUCACAUUUUGUGGUUAGCUAAAUAGGAAAUGUACAAGUUACUUCAGUCAAGAUAAUCUAUUCAUGGUUUAACAUUAAGAACUUACCCAUAAAGGAAUAAUACCUUUGUGUUAAAAAUAAACAGAAUUAUAAAUAAAGGGAUUCUCCAACACAGUGUCUGUAAAAUUGUUUAUUUGGGGUUUUAAAAGUAAUUGAACAGAAUUCCUGAACCUAGACUGGACUAUCUAACUUUAUUGCCUGUGU